rnacentral:rRNA from 1 species
UUUAAUUGAAGAGUUUGAUCAUGGCUCAGAUUGAACGCUGGCGGCAGGCCUAACACAUGCAAGUCGAGCGGCAGCACAGAGGAACUUGUUCCUUGGGUGGCGAGCGGCGGACGGGUGAGU